UUCUCGCUUGCAAAUCUCGACCUCGAACAGCUAUCAAUUUACGAGUCAUGCCAUCGUCGGUUCAAGUUUUGAGAGCGGGCGGAUCACUCAGGAUAAGAAGAAACGAAUCGGUUACUUGUUGAUCCUCCCGUAUUUUCCGUCGACAUAUGAGUUUUCCAUUCGAGUGGGACGCUCCGAAACUGUUCAUGGUCGAAUGUAUUCAGGUUUUUGGGCAUUUCAUUAGAGUGGUUUCGGAGUUGGAAUGGGGAUCGUAGAGACACUGCAAUAUUUGGAAUCAUCUAGAAGAAUUGCUUCAGUUAAUGAUAGUCAUUCUGAGGGAAGAUUAGUACGUAUGCCCAUGGCUAAUGGGGAGUGCUCUAUCCGUACGCAGUCACCUAAGUUAAAGAGGCGCAAAAUCUCCGCUGUUCGUGAUUUUCCCCCGGGGUGUGGACGAUUUGGUCAGUUAAGCAAUUUGGGACCUGAUAAGGAGGCCGCUUCUGUGGGUACUUUAUUGACUGCUCUGACAGAAAGUUUGGUUAGUGGGGGUAAAUAUGGUGACGGACGUGGUGCUGAAAAUCUGAUGCCCUCAACUGGUCAGGUAGAUGAUACUGUUUUGAUUAGUGGUUACGAUGUUAGUACUGGUGAGACAGUUGAAUCUUUAACAGCCUUAGAGCAUGAAAUAUAUGAUUCGUUGAAGAUCCAACAUCAGCUUGGUGCUGCUGCGCCAGAGGAGGAGAUAGUUGCAGUUCUGCCUGAUAGAAAUAUUUGUUCACCACCUGACAGAUCCAUCUCUAUUUCUACAUGCAAUCUUCUGGAGAAGACUGCAGUUAAAAAAUAUCCUCCUCGAAGAAAAAUAUCAGCCGUUCGUGACUUACCUCCU
rnacentral:sRNA from 1 species